rnacentral:rRNA from 1 species
GACGAACGCUGGCGGCGUGCCUAAUACAUGCAAGUAGAACGCACAGUUUAUACCGUAGCUUGCUACACCAUAGACUGUGAGUUGCGAACGGGUGAGUAACGCGUAGGUAACCUGCCUGGUAGCGGGGGAUAACUAUUGGAAACGAUAGCUAAUACCGCAUAAUAUUGAUUAUUGCAUGAUAAUUGAUUGAAAGAUGCUAUUGCAUCACUACCAGAUGGACCUGCGUUGUAUUAGCUAGUAGGUGAGGUAACGGCUCACCUAGGCGACGAUACAUAGCCGACCUGAGAGGGUGAUCGCCACACUGGGACUGAGACACGGCCCAGACUCCUACGGGAGGCAGCAGUAGGGAAUCUUCGGCAAUGGACGAAAGUCUGACCGAGCAACGCCGCGUGAGUGAAGAAGGUUUUCGGAUCGUAAAGCUCUGUUGUAAGAGAAGAACGGGUGUGAGAGUGGAAAGUUCACACUGUGACGGUAUCUUACCAGAAAGGGACGGCUAACUACGUG